ensembl:lncRNA
GUCGGGAGGGUCCAGGAGUGAAAUUUGGGGGGGUUGGGAGUGAAGUUUUUGGGGGAUUUGGGGGGUCCAGCAGGGAAAUUUUGGUGAUUUUUGGGGCUCCAGGAGCGAAAUUUGGGGGGUCAGGAACAAAAUUCGGGGGAUUUGGGGGUUCAGGAGCGAAAUUUGGGGGUUCGGGAGCGAAAUUCGAGGAAUUUUGGGGGUCCAGGAGCGAAAUUCGGGGAGUCAGGAGUGAAAAUUGGGGAAUUUGGGUUUUCAGGAGUGAAAUUUGGGUGAUUUGGGGGUCCAGGAGCGAAAUUCGGGGAGUCAGGAGCGAAAAUUGGGGAAUUUGGGGUUUCAGGAGUGAAAUUUGGGGGUCCAGGAGCAAAAUUUGGGGGAUUUUGGAGGUCGAGGAGCGAAAUUUGGGGGAUUUGGGGAGUUCAGGAGCGAAAUUCGGGGGAUUUUGGGGGUUCAGGAAAUUCGGGGGGCUCAGUCCCAAAUCUGGGGAGGGGUCGGGAGCAGAUUUGGGGCUCCGGGUGCCGAAUUUAGGAACUUUCAGGGCCUUGGAACCAAAAUUUGGGGGCUUCAGAGGGUCCAGGAGCGAAAUUUGGGGGGAAUUUUGGGGUCUCAGGGGGUUUUUAACCCAAUCCGGGGGGGCUCAGGACCCAAAUUUGGGCUCUAAAAGCCCCAAAUUCGCAGGAAAUGGCCCCAAAAUUCCCCCCUUUCCCCAGUUCCGAAUAAAUUCCGUGGAAUUUGUCCCAAAAUCGCUUUUAUUCCAAUAAAUAAACGUUACAAAAGGGGGGCGGGGGAGGGGGGGGAGGGGCGGGUGUGAGACCCCCAAAAAGCGACGUUUAUCCAAAAAAAAAAUUCCCGAGAAGAAUUCCCGAAAAAAUGACCUAAAAAAAAGCGAAUAAAGGGAAAAAAAGGGGGUGGGGGAGGGGCUUUUCCCCGUCCCCAAAAAGUGACUUUUACCCUAAAAAAGGGGAAUGAAACGGAGGAAAAGGGGGUGGGGGAGGGGCGGGGUUGAACCCCCUCCCCCCCAAAAUGUCCCAAAAUUCAUAAAAAUUCCAUCAAAAAUGGGGGUGGGGGAGGGGCGGGUUUGGAGCCCUCCCGAAAGUGACGAUUUUUGGGAAUGAGACCCUAAAAUUGACCUAAAAAAAUUGGGAAGAAAAUGGGGGAAAAAAAGGGGAGUGGGGGGAGGGGAGGGUGGGGAUUGAAAAACCCCCAAAAAUCUGGAGAAAAGACCCAAAAAAAGGCGAAAAAAUGAGGAAAAAGGGGGGGAUGGGAGUGGGGGAGGGGCAAUAACGAAACCACCCCUGAAAUUCAUAAAAAUGACCCGAAAAAAGCAGAAAUUUGGGAAAAAUGGGGGGAAAAUUGGGAAAAGGGGAGUGGGGGGAGGGGCAGAGGUAAAACCACCCCUAAAAUUCGUUAAAAACGCCCAAAAGUGACCCUAAAAAAGUGAGGGAAAUGGGAAAAAACGGGGGAAAUGGGGAAAAAAGGGGAUGGGGAGAGGGGUUGAGAGAGGGGGGAGGGGCGGGGCCGAAACCACGCCCAAAACCUCUUAAAAAACCCAAAAAAUGACCUAAAAAAAAGCCCAAAAAUCGGGGGAAAAGGGGAAAAUGAUGAAAGGGGAAAAUGUAAAAAAAAAAGGGGAAAAAAAGAAGGAAAAAAGGGGAAAAAUGAAAAAAUUAUAAAAGGGAAAAAAAUAGAAAAAAAAGGGGAAAAAAGGGAAAAAAACAACAGAAAAAAGGGAUAAAAAUGAAAAAAAGGGAAAAAAGGAGAAGAAAAGUGAAAAAAAAAUUUAAAAAACAAAAAAAAGGAAAAAAGGGGAUAAAACUUUAAAAACUGGGGAAAAAAUGGGAAAAAAAUGAAAAUAAAAGGGGAAAAAGGAUAAAAAUGCAAAAUAAAAGGGAAAAACAUGGAAAAAACUGAAAAAAAAACGGAAAAAAGGGAGAAAGUUAAAAAGAAAGGAAAAGGGAAGAAAAGGGAUAAAAAUGGAAAAUAAAAGGGAAAAAAAUGGAAAAAAACAGGAAAAAGAGGAGAAAAAUGAGAAAAAAGGGAAAGGGAAGAAAAGGGAUGAAAAUGCAAAAUAAUGGGGAGAAAAUGGAAAAAAAAACAGGAAAAGAAAGGAAAAAAAUGAGAAAAAAAGGGAAAGGGAGACAAAGGGAUAAAAAUGCAAAAUAAUGGGGAAAAAAUGGGAAAAAAAUUUUUAAAAAGUGAAAAAACCCCUAAAAAAAUGGGAAAAAAUGGGGAAAAAAUGGGAAAGAAAGGGGAAAGGGGGGAGGGGCG